UCGAGAAUCUUCGGCAAUGGGCGCAAGCCUGACCGAGCGACGCCGCGUGGAGGACGAAGGCCUUCGGGUUGUAAACUCCUGUCGAGGGGGAAGAAGGGCCUAAAAGCCUUGACUGAUCCCUGGAGGAAGCACGGGCUAAGUUCGUGCCAGCAGCCGCGGUAAGACGAACCGUGCGAACGUUAUUCGGAAUCACUGGGCUUAAAGCGCGUGUAGGUGGGACGGCACGUCGGUCGUUGAAAUCCCCCGGCUCAACCGGGGAAGGGGCGCCGAUACGACCGUCCUGGAGGGACGUAGGGGGACCUGGAACUUCCGGUGGAGCGGUGAAAUGCGUUGAGAUCGGAAGGAACGCCCGUGGCGAAAGCGAGGUCCUGGACGUUUUCUGACACUGAGACGCGAAAGCCAGGGGAGCGAACGGGAUUAGAUACCCCCGUAGUCC
rnacentral:rRNA from 1 species